GGAGAAGGAAUGUAGGCAUCGUUGGACUAGGGAGCUACUGAGCAGAUCAGAGCAUGAGGUAGCCAGUAGGUAAGAGGUGGACGGUGCUGCGAAGUGGUGGUGCACACUAAUCCUAGUGCGAGGCAGGCUGAGAGAGGUGUAUCUCCGUGAGUUCGAGGCUGCUCUAGUCAACUGAGCAAGUUCCAGGACAGUCAGGGAUAUGCAGAGAAACCCUGACUGGAAAACCAUGGGGUCAGGGGAACUGGACUGGUGGUCUAAACCAAAUUGUUGAUGGUCUAGAAAGGGAUGACACCCCCUAACCCCAAAAGUUGUAAUACAUGUUUUCUGCUGGAACCUUGAGUGAAUGCCUUUGCUUCUCAGGGUCUUUGUGGUUCUUAUAAUUAGGGAUACAGAAAAUAUUCGAGUCAUAGCAAGUUGCUAUACAUUAUUGGAAAGAGCAAGUAAGAGGAAGAAAACAGUUGCCAUUUUAAUUUUCCUAUUGGGCAAUUUUACUUUGGCUUUCUUGUGGGGUUAAAACCACCCAGGUCCUGUGGAAGAACAGCCAGUGCUCUUAACCCAAGCCAUCUUGCUAGUCUUUUAGAUUAUUGACUGAGACAGGAUUUUGCUUCAGUGCUCAGGGUUGACAUUAAUUUGAAUUCCUCCUGCCUCUGGUCUUCCUCAGCAGUGAGAGGCGUGCACAGUAUGCAGGAUUACUCCAUCAAGGACUUGCAACCACAAAGCAGAGUUUGUAGUUUACCAACUGCUCUUUACUCAAGUGGAGGGAACCAACGUUUCCCAUCUCUAUAGAUGAUGCUACUUGGGAUUAUACAGUCCUCCAUGUAGUCAUGCCCGCUUACAUCUUUGUCAAGACGCUUGCUUUUAAGACCAAUGCAUCUUCCUUGAGUUCACAUGUAAGGAAACCAUGUAAGGCGUGAGACAGUCUUGGCAGGGGUUAGUUCUUAGUGACCCUGCUGGCUUUUCCCUCCACUACAGGAAGCCACUUGGGAGGCACCAGGCAGGCUCCAUUGUGUGAGCGGAUUCAAGCUCCACUCUCAUUGUACAGUAUUUCC
rnacentral:lncRNA from 1 species